rnacentral:rRNA from 1 species
CCCUUAGAUGUUCUGGGCUGCACACGUGCUACACUGGCAGGUUCAGCGAGCUUCAUGCCCUGAUCUGAAAGGAAUGGGAAAUCUUUUCAAAACCUGCCGUGCUUGGGAUAGAUGUUUGCAAUUAUUCAUCUUCAACGAGGAUUGCCUUGUAAGCGCACGUCAUCAGCGUGCAUUGAAUACGACCCUAUAUUCUGUACACACCGCCCGUCGCUCCUACCGAUUGAAGUUUUCGGUGAGUUGACAGGAGGAUUUUUUUGAAACUGGUUCGCCAGUGGAUUUUAGAUCCAAAUGCCAACGAAUCGAUGGCUUUAGAGGAAGGAGAAGUCGUAACA